rnacentral:misc_RNA from 1 species
AAAAAAUUGGCAAAAAUAGUAAAUUUAAACUUGUUUUGUUUAGAUAAAAAAAAAUAAUUAAAUUAUGAUUCGAUAAAACAUAUUAAAAAAUAAAUUUGAUCCGACAAAAAUCUUAUAUUUAUUUAUUAAAAGCAGCUUGAGAGUCUCUAAUAAGCUUAUUACUUAACAUGGACUUAACUAUAUAUGCUUAUAGUGUAUGAGAUAGUUAAAAAACAAAACUUAAUAU